UACGGGGGGGGCAAGCGUUGUUCGGAAUUACUGGGCGUAAAGGGCUCGUAGGCGGCCAACUAAGUCAUACGUGAAAUCCCUCGGCUUAACCGGGGAACUGCGUCUGAUACUGGAUGGCUUGAGUUCGGAAGAGGGAUGCGGAAUUCCAGGUGUAGCGGUGAAAUGCGUAGAUAUCUGGAGGAACACCGGUGGCGAAGGCGGCAUCCUGGACCGACACUGACGCUGAGGAGCGAAAGCCAGGGGAGCAAACGGG
rnacentral:rRNA from 1 species